ACCUACCCUCUAUUGUACUAUGACUUGGUGUCUGCCUGAGGACAACAGUCUGGUUCAGGGCUGACCAGACUGAGGUGGGUGGUGUUUUCCUAGCAGAGCUGGUUUGGCCCAGCUAGCUACUCCAGCAAAAAUGUAUUGUGGGAAUCAGUUUGUUCUCUCACAGUGAGGGAAAUUUUCCAGCCAAUACAUUUGAUUGUUCUUGUGUGAAUGGCGCCAAGUAUUAGAAGGGGAGAAAUGACAUAAGUUUAUGUGAAACCGGCUCCUGCCUGUUUCGGCUGGACACACCCAGUUCAGAAUGCUGUGAAUGUGAGUUACCCAGGGUUUGGGAGAGAGGGCAACGCAGACAGUAAUACCACAUGGCCACGGAAGCUGUUAAAAUACUGAAUUCCUUCUGUACCAGCUUAAAGUCAUCUAGCACAACAAAGACAAUGUAUACUCACAAAGCAUUGCAUCAUUUUGCCCUCAAUCAUUCACCAAAUAUUUAUUGAACAUCUAUAUUAGCAAGGCACUGUACUGGUAUACAAUUAUUUCACAUAAACAGCACAAUUGAUUCAUUCAUUCAUGAGAGACACUGAGAGAGAGAAAGAGGCAGAGACGUUUAGGCAGAGAGAGAAGCAGGCUCCCUGAGGGGAGCCCGAUGCGAGACUCGAUCCCAUGACCCUAGAAUCAUGACCUGAACCAAAGGCAGUGGCUCAACCACUGAGCCCCCCAGGUGCCCCAAACACCCUGAUUUAAAUGUAAAUCAAAUAGGAUUAAUUUCUGUUAACUUGUUUAUACAUUUUAAGUUCUUUUCCUAAAAACUGAAAAAGUUAAAAACAAAAAAAUUGUAGUUCUAUUAUAUACAGAGUGUCACUCUAGGAAGGAUAAGGAGAAUUCCAUCUGUUUAUUACACCGAAUUAUAAAUUUCUUGUGUUUUACGUAAAUGUUUUGAUACGAUAAGAGACAAGUUAAGUUUUAGUGCCUGUAACAAAAAAAAUUUAGUGGGAAUUAAGUCCAUUCUCACAACAGCUACAAGGUGGAGAAGAGGUUGGAAAAUGAUAUUUAGAGGGAAAUUGCCAAAAUGUUAAUUCUCCCUGAGAACUAGGAUCAGAUUGUUUAGUUAUUUAAUUAUUUUUUUAUUAUUUUUAU
rnacentral:lncRNA from 12 species